GUGGUGGAGGGGACUUGUAUUCAUAUGGUGGUGGAUGAGAGUGCACCGGUGGUGGUGGAGACUUGUACUCAUAUGGAGGAGGGGGAGAAUGCACCGGUGGAGGCGGGGAUUUGUAAUAGUAAGGUGGCAAUGGAGAAUGCACCGGUGGUGGCGGGGACUUAUACACAUAUGGAGGAGGGGGCGAGUGCACCGGUGGAGGCGGGGAUUUGUAAUAGUAAGGUGGUGGUGGAGAGUGCACCGGUGGAGGAGGAGACUUAUAAUAGUAUGGGGCAGGGAGAGGAUGGGAUGGUGGUGGUGGUGGGGACU